GAAAGAGGGGGAGAUGUUGGCAAAAACCCUCCGUGCGUUCUUGCACUGUCGGAUUGACCAGACAGAGCAACAAAGCUGAUAAAACAGGAUUAGCAAAAUUGCAUUGUUGGGUAUGAUAUGCUGUGUGACAUGUACUACAGCAAAGGAAUUUGGCAGGAUUAACCUGCGGAGGAUAAAGAUGUACCAGACAAGCGGGCUGAAUUAAUAGACUGCUGUGACCAAAGCAAGGAAAUCUAUUUGCAUGGAAUAUUAGCAGCGAGAGCAGAGCUGUGCUGGAGGAGUUGCACUUGCUGUCCUGUGUGCAGCCGGGGACCGGGCUCUCCAGGCAGCAAUUCAGAGCGAAGAAAGCAGCUCGGCUCGCAGCACCAGCCGGCACGAGAGAGCGCAGUGCUCGCUCUGCUGCUUCCUCAGCUGCUGAGGAAAUGGGACACGAGUGGAAAUGGCUUCAGUGUUCCCAUGGAACAGGGGAUGUGCAGAACGCGUUGGGCAUUACUCUCGGUGCGGCACAGUGUGCACAGCGCUGCGGCACGCAGGGAGGGACCUCUCAGCAUCUGGUCACCUUCAGCCAGCGUUGCCAAGUCACUGCUGCUCGGGAGCAGCCAGAGCACGGCUUUCACUUUCAGGCUCUUCCUUCCCCGUGCUGAAGCUGAGUAACAGAUUUGCAUAAAAUAUGAAUACGCUGUUUUGUUUCUUGUAGCGCCCUGUAUUAAAAUUUCAGAAACCA
ensembl:lncRNA